rnacentral:lncRNA from 1 species
GCCGUGGAGACGGCGCCGCCCCGGCGCGGAGCCCGGCCCCGCUCAGGAGCGUUCCGCCAGCCGUGAGGGCCGGCAGACCCGGCUCUCCCCCUUUCCUUUCUUGUUUGUCUACAAAAUAGCUUAAUUCAACACCAACCUUAAUUCAACUUCCUCUCCUCCUGUCUGUGCACCAGAAAAACUGAGGCUUGCCCAGCAGGCCGAGGCAGGGGCUGCCACCGCUGCCUUUGCCAAGGCCACCUCAGUGAUACAACACCAAAACUAACUAGGAAAGGCCAGAGUUAUCAAUUAUGAACUUCUAGCGAAUCAGGGCUGCUAGCUUCUUGCUUCCCAGGAUGUAGAGCCAUUUGGGAGCAGCAAAGCCGUGCUUUCAAACUCUUCCCUGUCCUAAUUAAAGGAAAGACCAUUGUUACUUCAGGCAUUGAACUUGGUUUUUUAAAAUGCUGAGGAUUUUAUCAUCUCACAGAAGACAUUUGGAUGGUGGAAAAUGUAUUUUUCUGCUGUAAAAUGAAGUCUGGAAAGAGAUGCUGGAGACGCACAGUUAGAAUUAAGGUGAGGCCCAGGAAACUCAACACAGUGUGUGUGAAAUCAUCUAGGCCAAUCCUCCACCUCCACCAAGAGGGAAAGGAAGAGGAUUCAGACACUGAGGUCUCAUCUCUUAAUUACAAUUUAUAUAUUCUCCUGGAGAUUCACUGCCUUCUUCAAAGGCUGGUGUUUAAACACUUUCUCUAAAUCAGAUAUGAACCGAUGCUACUUUUAAAGCAAGCAGAAGAAAAAAAGGGUUUCUGAGCUGCUAGUCCUCUUUUCAAGCAAUAAAUGAGUUUAUCAUACGCA